rnacentral:rRNA from 4 species
UUGGACCUGAUAUCAGGCAAGAUUACCC